AACCAUGGCCAUACCACCCUGAAUGCACCCGUUCUCGUCUGAUCUCGGAAGCUAAGCAGGGUUGGGCCUGGUUAGUACUUGGAUGGGAUGAAUCGCUAAAUCUCAGUGUCUUC
rnacentral:rRNA from 1 species